rnacentral:sRNA from 1 species
AUUGGCUCUAUCAUGAAGGGUGGGGCCGUGGCUGCUGAUGGACGCAUCGAGCCAGGAGAUAUGCUGUUACAGGUAAACGAGAUCAACUUUGAGAACAUGAGUAAUGACGAUGCAGUCCGGGUACUGCGGGAGAUUGUGCACAAACCGGGGUAUGGAUGGAAUGGGGCACUGGGCAAGGGGCUUGGUCCGGCCUGUACACAUCCUGCCUUCACUAGGACACCCUUGUUUUCAGGCCCAUCACCCUGACUGUAGCCAAGUGCUGGGACCCAAGUCCACGUGGUUGCUUCACAUUGCCCAGGAGUAAGUGGAUGGGAGACUCAGUCCUAAA